rnacentral:rRNA from 1 species
UGAACCAGCCAUGCCGCGUGCAGGAUGACGGCCCUAUGGGUUGUAAACUGCUUUUGUACCAGAGAAAACCCUUCCACGUGUGGGAGGUUGAUAGUAUGGUAAGAAUAAGCAUCGGCUAACUUCGUGCCAGCAGCCGCGGUAAGACGAAGGAUGCAAGCGUUAUCCGGAUUCAUUGGGUUUAAAGGGUGCGUAGGCGGACCUGUAAGUCAGUGGUGAAAUCUCUUUGCUUAACAAAGAAACUGCCAUUGAUACUGCAAGUCUAGAGUAUAGAUGACGUUGGCGGAAUAUGACAUGUAGUGGUGAAAUACUUAGAUAUGUCAUAGAACACCGAUUGCGAAGGCAGCUAACGAAACUAUAACUGACGCUGAGGCACGAAAGUGCGGGGAUCAAACAGGAUUAGAUACCCUGGUAGUCCGCACCGUAAACGAUGAUUACUCGUUGUUGGCAAUAUGACCGUCAGCGACCAAGCGAAAGCGAUAAGUAAUCCACCUGGGGAGUACGCCGGCAACGGUGAAACUCAAAGGAAUUGACGGGGGCCCGCACAAGCGGAGGAGCAUGUGGUUUAAUUCGAUGAUACGCGAGGAACCUUACCUGGGCUUGAAAGUUAGCGACCGGUCCUGAAAGGGAUCUUCCAGCAAUGGCGCGAAACUAGGUGCUGCAUGGCUGUCGUCAGCUCGUGCCGUGAGGUGUUGGGUUAAGUCCCGCAACGAGCGCAACCCCUAUUGUUAGUUACCAGCGAGUAAUGUCGGGAACUCUAACGAAACUGCCCGUGCAAACGGUGAGGAAGGUGGGGACGACGUCAAGUCAUCACGGCCCUUACGUCCAGGGCUACACACGUGCUACAAUGGUAGGUACAACGGGCAGCUACACAGCGAUGUGAUGCUAAUCUCUAAAAACCGAUCUCAGUUCGGAUUGGAGUCUGCAACUCGACUCCAUGAAGCUGGAUUCGCUAGUAAUCGCGCAUCAGCAAUGGCGCGGUGAAUACGUUCCCGGGCCUUGUACACACCGCCCGUCAA